rfam:Penicillium chrysogenum Wisconsin 54-1255 complete genome, contig Pc00c13
UUGCCCUUCGACGCAUAUGGUCAAAUGAAAAUAUACAGAGAAGAUUAGCAUGGCCCCUGCCCUAAGGAUGACAUGUCUCAAUCAAAGAGAAGCUAACUAUUUUU